CUAGGUUAUUUUUGCAGACCUGCCCACACCCUUCCCUAUUUGCAUCUCUUAUUCANNNNNNNNNNCGUCGGGCUUUCCCUGCACCUGGAGGCUCCCGGGGCAGGCGCCCUCCUGAGUCCUCCGCUUCCUGCCUGGGUGACCGUCCGCAAAGCAGGCAGGUGUCCCCUCCACUGAGGCAUCCGUCACCUGCCGAGGGACACACAUCAAAGACCCAUUUCCAGCUCACGUGGGUACGGUUCUGGCUGCGCCGCUUCCCCGUCUGUUCCAAGCACGGAAGCAGAAAGCUCCCCUCGGUUAUUUUUGGGGUGUAACUGACACUCCGUGUCCCGCGUGUCAGGGUGCAACAUACUGAUUCAACUUCCAGUGUGUUUCAGUGAAGCAAGCAGAACUUUGACAACAAAGAAAUCAGUAAAUAGAAGAGCAUCGAUUGAUCUAAUAUAUAAGUAAUGGUGGAAAUCUAACCUGGCAGUGUGCGGAAAGGAGCAUAUACUGUGACCAAGCGUUUUUUUCCAGUGGAGCAGGACUAGCCCAAUAUCAGACCUACUGAUGUAAACCACCGUUUAAUAGAACAAAAAGGAAGAACACGAUCAUCUCCACAGAUGCUGACAAAACACUGGAUGGAUUCAACGUUCAUUCUCUUUUUAAAAUGCCCCCAGUGAAACAGUGAUUGAUAAACACGUCCUUAAUGGCACGACGGUGUGUCCCAACCUGAAAGCCACGCGGUGCCACUGCCUCCCCGGGGGGUUGAGGCCCCGGAGCUGACUUGGUGUCAGUGUCAGAACCACACGAAACCCCUAGGGACGCAGCUGAA
rnacentral:lncRNA from 12 species